UACGUAGGGGGCAAGCGUUGCCCGGAAUCAUUGGGCGUAAAGCGGGUGUAGGUGGCUUUGUAAGUCAGGAGUGAAAGCCCUAGGCUCAACCUAGGAAGUGCUUUUGAUACUGCGAAGCUUGAAUGUGGGAGAGGAUCGUGGAAUUCCAGGUGUAGUGGUGAAAUACGUAGAUAUCUGGAGGAACACCGGUGGCGAAGGCGGCGAUCUGGCCCAACAUUGACACUCAGACCCGAAAGUGCGGGGAUCAAACAGG
rnacentral:rRNA from 1 species